rnacentral:rRNA from 1 species
CCUACGGGAGGCAGCAGUGAGGAAUAUUGGACAAUGGGCGCAAGCCUGAUCCAGCCAUGCCGCGUGCAGGAAGACGGUCCUAUGGAUUGUAAACUGCUUUUAUACAGGAAGAAACACCUCUACGUGUAGAGACUUGACGGUACUGUAUGAAUAAGCAUCGGCUAACUCCGUGCCAGCAGCCGCGGUAAUACGGAGGAUGCAAGCGUUAUCCGGAAUCAUUGGGUUUAAAGGGUCCGUAGGCGGUUUAAUAAGUCAGUGGUGAAAGCCCAUCGCUCAACGAUGGAACGGCCAUUGAUACUGUUAAACUUGAAUUAUUAGGAAGUAACUAGAAUAUGUAGUGUAGCGGUGAAAUGCUUAGAGAUUACAUGGAAUACCAAUUGCGAAGGCAGGUUACUACUAAUAUAUUGACGCUGAUGGACGAAAGCGUGGGGAGAGACGAGAGUAGUAUACCUACGUAGUACACGACCGUAACGAAGUAGAGUACUAGACUGUUCGGUAGACAAUACUGAGUGGUGUA